AACGAACGCUGGCGGCAUGCCUAACACAUGCAAGUCGAACGAGACCUUCGGGUCUAGUGGCGCACGGGUGCGUAACGCGUGGGAAUCUGCCCUUGGGUUCGGAACAACAGUUGGAAACGACUGCUAAUACCGGAUGAUGACUUCGGUCCAAAGAUUUAUCGCCCAGGGAUGAGCCCGCGUCGGAUUAGCUAGUUGGUGAGGUAAAAGCUCACCAAGGCGACGAUCCGUAGCUGGUCUGAGAGGAUGAUCAGCCACUCUGGGACUGAGACACGGCCCAGACUCCUACGGGAGGCAGCAGUGGGGUAUAUUGGACAAUGGGCGAAAGCCUGAUCCAGCAAUGCCGCGUGAGUGAUGAAGGCCUUAGGGUUGUAAAGCUCUUUUACCCGGGAAGAUAAUGACUGUACCGGGAGAAUAAGCCCCGGCUAACUCCGUGCCAGCCGCCGCAGUAAGAC
rnacentral:rRNA from 1 species